UACGUAGGGUGCAAGCGUUGUUCGGAAUCACUGGGCGUAAAGAGAGCGUAGGCGGGAUUGUAAGUUAGAAGUUUAAUGCAAGGGCUUAACCCUUGAGCGGCUUUUAAUACUGCAGUUCUUGAAUGUGGGAGAGGGCGAUGGAAUUCCAGGUGUAGCGGUGGAAUGCGUAGAUAUCUGGAAGAACACCAGUAGCGAAGGCGGUCGCCUGGCCUAACAUUGACGCUGAGGCUCGAAAGCUAGGGGAGCAAACAGG
rnacentral:rRNA from 1 species